GACGAACGCUGGCGGCGUGCUUAACACAUGCAAGUCGAACGCUGAAGCUCAGCUUUUGUUGGGUGGAUGAGUGGCGAACGGGUGAGUAACACGUGAGUAACCUGCCCCCUUCUUUGGGAUAACGCCCGGAAACGGGUGCUAAUACUGGAUAUUCACUGGUCUUCGCAUGGGGGUUGGUGGAAAGGGUUUUUCUGGUGGGGGAUGGGCUCGCGGCCUAUCAGCUUGUUGGUGGGGUGAUGGCCUACCAAGGCUUUGCCGGGUAGCCGGCCUGAGAGGGUGACCGGUCACAUUGGGACUGAGAUACGGCCCAGACUCCUACGGGAGGCAGCAGUGGGGAAUAUUGCACAAUGGGCGCAAGCCUGAUGCAGCGACGCCGCGUGAGGGAUGGAGGCCUUCGGGUUGUGAACCUCUUUCGCUCAUGGUCAAGCCGCAACAAUGGUUGUGGUGAGGGUAGUGGGUAAAGAAGCGCCGGCUAACUACGUG
rnacentral:rRNA from 1 species